GGGGCCCUGCCAACUGUCCAUCCUGGGAAGGUGGGGACGCAUUCCCGCUCUCACCUUGGUGACCGUGCCUACUGAGAUUGGGAUCCAGUCUUUCCCGCUGUGAAAGGGACCAGGUCCCUACACCACAACUGCUGUCGCUCUGUCGCCUGCACUGUGACCUGCACUAGUCACGGGAGCCCUAGAGAGAUAAGCCAGGACGCCUGGAAAUGAGGUCAGGUUCUUGAAGGUUUCCUGCAUCACAUCCCUGUAGAGAUUCUUCUGGGAAGGAUCCAGCAAAGCCCACUCCUCCUGGGUGAAGCUGACAGCCACAUCCUCAAAGGCCACUGAAUCCUGAAACAUCUCACAUAUGUAAAGGAGGACAGAAGCCAGGUUCCUGAAGGUUUCCUGCAUCACAUCUCUGUAGAGAUUCUUCUGGGAAGGAUCCAGCAAAGCCCACUCCUCCUGGGUGAAGUUCACAUCUACAUCCUCAAAGACCACUGAAUCCUGAAACAUCCCACAUGUGUAAAGAAACAUGGGUGAGACUGACAGCUAUGGACUCCAAACAUUUAUUCCAUGAUCUGGUCAUCAGACUUUUUACUCUGUCAACACUCACUCUUCCAUAAAGAAAUUCUUUUUUUUAA